AUUGAACGCUGGCGGCAUGCUUUACACAUGCAAGUCGAACGGCAGCACGGGGGCAACCCUGGUGGCGAGUGGCGAACGGGUGAGUAAUGCAUCGGAACAUACCCAGUCGUGGGGGAUAACGUAGCGAAAGUUACGCUAAUACCGCAUACGUCCUGAGGGAGAAAGCGGGGGAUCUUCGGACCUCGCGCGAUUGGAGUGGCCGAUGUCAGAUUAGCUAGUUGGUAGGGUAAAGGCCUACCAAGGCGACGAUCUGUAGCGGGUCUGAGAGGAUGAUCCGCCACACUGGGACUGAGGCACGGCCCAGACUCCUACGGGAGGCAGCAGUGGGGAAUUUUGGACAAUGGGGGCAACCCUGAUCCAGCCAUGCCGCGUGCGGGAAGAAGGCCUUCGGGUUGUAAACCGCUUUCGGACGGAAAGAAAUCGUUCUGGCUAAUACCCAGGAUGGAUGACGGUACCGUAAGAAGAAGCACCGGCUAACUACGUGCCAGCAGCCGCCGUAACAC
rnacentral:rRNA from 1 species